rnacentral:lncRNA from 1 species
UGAAUCGCUGCUUGAUAGUCUCAAAUCGAUGAUUACAGUCUUGUUCGAUUCUUGCCACUGAACAUUCGAGAUGAAGAAAGUAUUGGAGAUUUACUCUUAAUGAUUGAUAAUGCAAUACAAUAUGGUGAAGACUUGGAUGUGAAAACCAGAGACAUAGGAAAUGAAGAUCGUGAUGAAUAAGAAAAUGAUUCAUGCUAAUAUUCACUAUAUAAAUUAUUUUGUGUACAAUCAUUUUACUUGAAUAAACAUUUUUAUGGAUAUCUAA